rnacentral:rRNA from 1 species
GAUGAACGCUGGCGGCGUGCCUAAUACAUGCAAGUCGAGCGAACAGACGAGGAGCUUGCUCCUCUGACGUUAGCGGCGGACGGGUGAGUAACACGUGGAUAACCUACCUAUAAGACUGGGAUAACUUCGGGAAACCGGAGCUAAUACCGGAUAAUAUAUUGAACCGCAUGGUUCAAUAGUGAAAGACGGUUUUGCUGUCACUUAUAGAUGGAUCCGCGCCGCAUUAGCUAGUUGGUAAGGUAACGGCUUACCAAGGCGACGAUGCGUAGCCGACCUGAGAGGGUGAUCGGCGACACUGGAACUGAGACACGGUCCAGACGCCUACGGGAGGCAGCAGUAGGGAAUCGUCCGCAAUGGGCGAAAGCCUGACGGAGCAACGCCGCGUGAGUGAUGAAGGUCUUCGGAUCGUAAAACUCUGUUAUUAGUGAAGAACAAAUGUGUAAGUAACUAUGCACGUCGUGACGGUAACGAAUCAGAAAGCCACGGCUAACUACGUG